rnacentral:lncRNA from 1 species
GUUACUGUCAAUUUUCCGUACAAAACUAUAUUUUUUAUCUAUGAAAGUAUAAUCCAAAUUCAAAUAAAACAUAUUUAAUAAUUAAGGUGGUAUUGUUAUAAAGCUUGAAAAAAAAAAUUGGUCUAUUUAAAAGUAAAACAAUAUUUUAAAAUAAUUUUUGUUUGCAAUGCAAAAAUCAAUAUAAAUCUUGUGACGUGCGGUGUUCAACUUUAGUCAGCGCCAAGCGCUUAUCGAGGGAGGACGUAUCGCUCGCUGUUGCGCCGCGCAAACUCGCCGGAGCUCGAAAAAUAUAGCGCAACCUGCGCAACGAACUCGUUUUGAUACUAGAUAAUGAAAGCAUAUUUAAUUCAGAUUAUCAGACUCAAUCGGAUACCAGUACAAAUAAUAUGGAAAAUGAAGAUACAAUACAUGGAAGACGAAUUAUAGAUUUUAGUUUUUUUAUAAAUCAAUUACUUAUACCUAAUUGAUAAACAUGGUGAAAAGUUUGGUUGUCGAUUAAAUAAUUUAA